UCGUCCUAGACCAAGACGAGCCCGCGUGGUACGCCCUCCUCUUCGGGCCAGGCUAGUUCCAUCGACCGGCCCGUGGUUUCCUCUUAGUUUCACGGUGGGAUGAAAUCGACCACGGCUACUAGAGCGCCCCCCCGCCACGACAAGACGGGAACCCAUUCGGGGGGGCACGCGGUGUAUCUUAGUCUGAGCCCGCGCUUGCGACUCUACACUCGUGUCCCGCGCACUUGUACGCGCUAAAUCUCGUGUGUUCAAAAAGCAUGCGGGCAGUAUAUCUUUUUCUACAAACGUUACUUAUUGAGAACCAUUGAAGUUCAAAGUGAAUUUAGUGUGCUGUGAAAGUGAUCUCAAGAAUACUAUACUGUAUUUAUUUGCAUUUAUUUUUGCGCCCAGUCAGUAUUACUAAGCAGUUUUGUUUUUGGAUUGUAUUAAAGUUACAAUGAAGUUUAAUGAAAAUGGACAUAGCCAAUUUUUCCGCCCUGAAAAAUGUAAAUCAAGCAACAACAGAAGUAGAUUUCCUUGUGAAAAGGUUCGUCCAGGGAAGUACUGCCACCAUACCUAUUCCUCCACCAAGCAGCGAUGUGAGGUGCUGGUGAAACUACAGCAGACGAAUUUAUGGAAACAGAUGAAGACACUCGCCGGGGCAACCUCCUCGACGACAUGCCACCGAUGAACUGCGGAGGUUCCGUGGAGGGCGGUGUGAGCACUAGCACCAACGAUAUCGGCGAUAUGACUUUCUGCAUGGGCAACUAUAUUACGGAUUUUAUGAAGAUGAUGUUCACAAUGCGAUCCCACCAUAUGCUGACGGACGUCAUAUUAGAAGUUGGAAACGAGUUGUUUCACGUUCACAAAGUGGUAUUGGCAGCUGGCAGCCCUUAUUUUAAAGCAAUGUUCACAAGCGGUCUGAAAGAAUGCGAAAUGUCACGCGUUCGACUGCAAGGCGUGUGUCCCUCAGCUAUGGCGUGGUUGGUCUACUUCAUGUACACGGGAAAGAUCAGGAUCACUGAAGUUACUGUGUGUCAGUUACUGCCAGCUGCUACUAUGUUCCAGAUCGCGAACGUGAUAGAGGCCUGCUGCUCAUUCCUCGAAAAGCAACUGGAUUCUUCCAACGCUAUCGGCAUUGCCAACUUCGCUGAACAACAUGGCUGCGCUGAUUUGAAGCAAAAGGCCAACCAGUUCAUUGAAAGAAAUUUUAGCCAGGUAUGCCAAGAAGAAGAAUUCCUUCAGCUGACUGUACAACAAUUGAUAUGUUUAAUACGAAAGGACGAGCUGAACGUAAAGGAAGAACGAGAAGUUUACAACGCUGUCAUAAAUUGGGUGAAAUACGAUGAAGACCGCAGACAUCCGCGGAUGGAGCAUAUAUUACAAGCUGUCAGAUGCCAGUACCUCACUCCUAGCUUCUUGAAAGAACAAAUGAGCACAUGUACCGUACUCAAAAAAGUGCCCGCCUGCAGAGAAUACCUUGCUAAGAUUUUCAAGGAUCUAACAUUACACAAAAGGCCAGUUGUUAAAGAACGUCGACCAAACACGCCUCGCAUAAUCUACGUGGCGGGUGGGUACUGCAGACAUUCCAUCGAUCUGUUCGAAGCUUUCAACUUAGAUGACAACUGCUGGACUACUUUGCCUCGACUCACGGUACCGAGAUCUGGGCUUGGAGCUGCUUUUCUUAAGGGUUUGUUUUUCGCGGUGGGCGGGCGUAAUACGUCGCCGGGCUCGUCAUAUGACAGCGACUGGGUCGACGUGUACAAUCCCGUCAGUGAACACUGGCGGCCUUGCAGCCCCAUGUCCACACCUCGGCAUAGAGUGGGAGUAGCAGUUAUGGAUGGUUUACUGUAUGCAGUCGGAGGCUCUGCAGGAUCGCAAUACCAUAGAUCCGUUGAAUGCCUUGACCCCGAAACAGACACCUGGACAACGGUGGCAUCGAUGUCGUGCGCGCGUCUCGGCGUCGGAGUAGCCGUGGUUAACCGACUACUGUACGCUGUUGGCGGCUUCGACGGUGCGCGACGAGUUAACACCGUCGAGUGCUACCAUCCUGAAAACAAUUGCUGGAACGAGGUCGCGCCCAUGAAUAUCGCCAGGAGUGGUGCAGGGGUAGCAGCGUUGAACCAAUACAUCUACGUAGUAGGCGGUUACGACGGGUCGCAGCAACUAGCGUCUGUAGAGCGAUACGACACUGAACGAAAUAUGUGGGAAGCCGUUGCUCCGCUGUCCAUGGCAAGAUCUACGCUAUCGUUGACUGUUUUGGACAAUAAGUUAUAUGCUAUGGGCGGUUACGACGGCACAUCAUUCCUAAACAUAGUUGAAGUAUACGAUCCACCAACCAAUGUAUGGAAGAUCGGAACACCGCUCACCUCAGUGCGGUCCGGGCAUGCCUCCGCCGUGUGCUACCAGCACGUUUCGCCACAUUCCGAACACAACGAACAAAUCCCCACCGUGAUGACAAAACUGAACAGACGAGCGUCACCACCUGAUUCCUCCAACUCUGGCCCUUCGAGAAGCGAAGACAUACCAAUGGCUAAUAAUAUCAUAGGCACCCUAUCCAAUACAAGAGGAUGCUUAUAGCAACAGAUAUAGAAUAUUUUCUGAAAGAAAUUCUAAAGACAUUCCUUUUCCAUUAUGUCCUGUUCUCAGUGCAAUCAGUAUGUGUAUGAAUGAUUAUUAUUAACAUGUGAUACGAGUUAUGUGAUAAGAGUUACUUAUUUGUUAUUAGUUUAUAAUAGUAGUAAACAUUGUUGGCCAUCACAGCUAGUUAAAUUUAUUAGACAGACAUCCGUAUACAGGUUGUAACGGGUAGGGUAUAUCAAAUCAAAUGCACCGAUUUACGUAGAAAUUCAGAUAUGAUGGCCACUAUACGCCGUGUAAGUUCCAGUCGAUUAAAGUUACGGUGUCCUGUGCAACUUGCGCUGGUUUUAAAGGCUUUAUAAUCAUAAAACCAACCGGUUUUAUACGCAGUACUUGUAAUUUAAUAUUGCAUUAAACACUAAAAUCACAAACGUCGUACAUCUUGGAAAUACUGUAGUAACACAGCGUAUAGUUCUUGUGGGUACGGGUUUUUUUUAAGAUAGUAUAACUGUCCUUUAUUACAAGUUGUUUUUGCCUCUUCCUUGGGCGUAGGAGGAUGUUUUAAAUUGCCCGUAAUCCUGGUAUCGUUGCCGUAAAACUGCCUCUGACGCCUUUGACGCGAACUUUCUAAAAAAUAUAAUUCACUCGUAGUGCUAAGACACACUUGGUUUGAAAAUUUAUAUAGUUCUUAAAUUUUAAAAAUUAAUCAUGUUUGUAUACCUCAAAAUGUUCACAGACCUUUUCAAUCAGAUAGGUACCUUAUUAGGUCCAUUUAUUUAUAUACCCUUUCCGUUACAGCCUGUAUAAAUACAUACGCACAAAUUGUUGAGAAUUUUUUAUUGGUGCCAAAAUUUUUUUACACUUUUUGACCGUCUACACGUGCACGGCCUGUAAAGGUUCUUUUCAAUUCUUGAAUUGUCCUUGAACAGUCCUGUUCUUGUUCGUUGUAUACUCUGUCUUGAUAUGAUUUCUUGGUUGAAAUUACCAGAUUGUGAAACAGUAUACGUGAACAGUGUAACUAUGACCCGCCGAACUUUCUUAAAUUGUAUAUAUGGACGUAAUAAAAGGCAACCUAACAACAAAGCUGUUGCAAUAGAUUGUUAACUCGAAUGUUUUGUCUGGUCAAAAUCAAUUUUGCGAUCACACUAGAAACACUUGGUCGAAUUCUAUAUCCGAAAAUAUUAUUAUUAUUUUCUUACGUAAUUGUUGCUAUUUGAAGGUUCUCAGAGUUGUGCGUUAAGAAAAUGACAAAAAUAUUUUUAUUUAUUUCACCCUUCACAACCAAUCAUCCUUGGGUGAUAAGUGAGAUUAUAUAUCUAUGAGAGCACAAUAAUUGCGGUCUACUGCAAUCAUCGACUAAAGUAGCGAAUUGGAAUAAUUUAUGUAUUAUAUAUUUUUUAUCUUCGUGUUGUUGAAAAAGAGCCUUACAUAUGGGAUUAUUGUACAUAGAAUUAGAGUCUUCGGUGAUAUUCUAUUUAAUACACCGAUGUACGCCUCGGCUUUAUUAAAUUUGCACCUAGUUUGCUUCCCAUUAAUUUAGGAAAACUUUGUAUUUCCCUUACGCGACAAAAGGCAUCUGAAAGAUUUUUUUAUUAAUGCGAUAGUAUUUGUAUUAUUUACUAUAAAUAAACAUUAUCUAUUAUAAGGGUAAUUAAAAAACAUGGAAUAC